rnacentral:rRNA from 1 species
AAAUUGAAGAGUUUGAUCAUGGCUCAGAUUGAACGCUGGCGGCAGGCCUAACACAUGCAAGUCGAGCGGUAGCACAGAGAGCUUGCUCUCGGGUGACGAGCGGCGGACGGGUGAGUAAUGUCUGGGAAACUGCCUGAUGGAGGGGGAUAACUACUGGAAACGGUAGCUAAUACCGCAUAAUGUCGCAAGACCAAAGUGGGGGACCUUCGGGCCUCAUGCCAUCAGAUGUGCCCAGAUGGGAUUAGCUAGUAGGUGGGGUAACGGCUCACCUAGGCGACGAUCCCUAGCUGGUCUUAGAGGAUGACCAGCCACACUGGAACUGAGACACGGUCCAGACUCCUACGGGAGGCAGCAGUGGGGAAUAUUGCACAAUGGGCGCAAGCCUGAUGCAGCCAUGCCGCGUGUGUGAAGAAGGCCUUCGGGUUGUAAAGCACUUUCAGCGGGGAGGAAGGCGUUAAGGUUAAUAACCUUG